GCUAAUACCUGAAUAAUCUAUUUUACUUCAUGGUGAAAUACUGAAAGUGCUGUGUUUCGUGCUGUCUGCUAUAAGAUGGGCCCUGCGUGCGCAUUAGCUAGUUGGUGAGUGUAACGUGCUCACCAAUUGCUGACGAUGCGUAGCCGACCUGAGAGUGGUGAUCGGCACACUGGGACUGAGACACUGUGCCCAGGACUCCUACGGGAGUGCAGCAAGUAGGGAAUCUUCCACAAAUGGGCGAAAAGCCCUGAUGGAGCAACUGCCCUGCGUGAAGGUGAAUGGAAGUGUUUUCGGAAUCGUAAAACUCUGUUGUAAUUGGAAGAACAAGUACCAAGUAGGUAAACUGGCUUGUACCCUUGAGCGUGUACCUUUAUUAGAAAAGCCCACGGCUAACUUACUUGUA
rnacentral:rRNA from 1 species